rnacentral:rRNA from 1 species
UACGAAGGGGGCUAGCGUUGCUCGGAAUCACUGGGCGUAAAGGGUGCGUAGGCGGGUCUUUAAGUCAGGGGUGAAAUCCUGAGGCUCAACCUCAGAACUGCCUUCGAUACUGGCGAUCUUGAGUUCGGAAGAGGUUGGUGGAACAGCUAGUGUAGAGGUGAAAUUCGUAGAUAUUAGCUAGAACACCAGUGGCGAAGGCGGCCAACUGGUCCGAUACUGACGCUGAGGUGCGAAAGCGUGGGGAGCAAACAGG